rnacentral:rRNA from 1 species
GAUGAACGCUGACAGAAUGCUUAACACAUGCAAGUCAACUUGAACUUCGGUUUGGGUGGCGGACGGGUGAUUAACGCGUAAAGAACUUGCCUCACAGCUAGGGACAACAUUUGGAAACGAAUGCUAAUACCUGAUAUUAUGAUUUUAGGGCAUCCUAGAAUUAUGAAAGCUAUAUGCGCUGUGAGAGAGCUUUGCGUCCCAUUAGCUAGUUGGAGAGGUAACGGCUCACCAAGGCGAUGAUGGGUAGCCGGCCUGAGAGGGUGAACGGCCACAAGGGGACUGAGACACGGCCCUUACUCCUACGGGAGGCAGCAGUGGGGAACAUUGGACAAUGGACCAAGAGUCUGAUCCAGCAAUUCUGUGUGCACGAUGAAGUUUUUCGGAAUGUAAAGUGCUUUCAGUUGGGAAGAAAAAAAUGACGGUACCAACAGAAGAAGUGACGGCUAAAUACGUG